CCCUUCCCAGCACUUCAGUAUCAUAAGGAUCUGAAAACUGGCAAAACUGGUACUCAAAUUCAUUUAAAUAAAACACUGCCUAAGAGGAACAUUCACAUCCCUUUCAUCCUCUUGCUUCUGGAAUAUAAAACAAGCAACCACCAAAGAACAACAACAAAAAGGAGCAGGGAGUUUAAUAGGCAAGAAGACAGAAGGAAGAAGCUCCCCCAUACAGAGACAGAUGGAAAGGGUCUCCAAAGCUGAAAGAAGAAGUCCCUAUAUGUGAUGGACACUAGCCAGUUUUUGUUCAAGAUGCCAAGAACCUGGACACCCUCCACCGUUAACAUAUUUUGGGGAGCCAGCCUGGAGGAAGAGGUGCAAUGCUGCUUGGCCCCAACAUCGUUUGAAAUCUGGAGUUUACUGCUGACUGGGAAAGUGGGAUGGCUCUGCAUGUUUCCAGGCCUCUGUGCUGUGACUCUAAGCAGGGGGCUGGUUAAUGUAUGGCAGCCUCCUUUGGUAUGGUUUGGCCCCAGUGCUCUUUGGAGUCUGAGGAGGUUUGGCUCUUAAAAAUCAAACUGCUGUGUGUUAGGUGUGUCACUCUGUAAGGAGACCACCAGGCAGGCUUUGUGUGAGCAAUCAGGCCGUUUUAUUUUGCACUUGGAUGUAAGUGGGCUGAGUCUGAGAGAGGAGUUAGGUGAGGGGUGUAGGAAUGGGGACUGGUUAUAUAGGUUGGAACAAAUUGUAAGUUAAA